ACGGAAGUCGUUGUAAUGAAAUAGAAACGGACAGAGAACUUGUUCGAAGAAAGUGGAAGUAGACUUACAACAAUGGCUUUAGUGGCGGACUGGUGAGUAACGCGUAAGGAACCUGCCUUCUAGAGGGGAAUGACAAUGAGAAAUCAUUGCUAAUACCGCAUAUGCCGAGAGAAUCACAUGGUACAAUCGGGAAAAGAGUAAUCUGCUAGAAGAUGGCCUUGCGUCUGAUUAGAUAGUUGGUGGGGUAACGGCCUACCAAGUCGACGAUCAGUAGCCGGACUGAGAGGUUGAACGGCCACAUUGGGACUGAGAUACGGCCCAGACUCCUACGGGAGGCAGCAGUCGGGAAUAUUGCGCAAUGGAGGAAACUCUGACGCAGUGACGCCGCGUAUAGGAAGAAGGUUUUCGGAUUGUAAACUAUUGUCGUUAGGGAAGAGAAAGGACAGUACCUAAGGAGGAAGCUCCGGCUAACUACGUGCCAGCAGCCGCGGUAAUACGUAGGGAGCGAGCGUUAUCCGGAAUUAUUGGGUGUAAAGGGUGCGUAGACGGGAAGAUAAGUUAGUUGUGAAAUCCCUCGGCUUAACUGAGGAACUGCAACUAAAACUGUUUUUCUUGAGUGCAGGAGAGGUAAGUGGAAUUCCUAGUGUAGCGGUGAA
rnacentral:rRNA from 1 species